UACGAAGGGGGCUAGCGUUGCUCGGAAUUACUGGGCGUAAAGCGCACGUAGGCGGCUCUUUAAGUCGGGGGUGAAAUCCUGGAGCUCAACUCCAGAACUGCCUUCGAUACUGGAGAGCUUGAGUUCGGGAGAGGUGAGUGGAACUGCGAGUGUAGAGGUGAAAUUCGUAGAUAUUCGCAAGAACACCAGUGGCGAAGGCGCUCGCUGGACCCGAUACUGCGCUGAAGGUGCGAAAGCGUGGGGAGC
rnacentral:rRNA from 1 species